AGAGUUUGAUCAUGGCUCAGAGCGAACGCUGGCGGCAGGCCUAACACAUGCAAGUCGAGCGCUCGUAGCAAUACGAGAGCGGCAGACGGGAGAGUAACACGUGGGAACGCGCCCUUCGGUUCGGAAUAACUCAGGGAAACUUGAGCUAAUACCGGAUACGCCCUAACGGGGAAAGAUUUAUCGCCGAAGGAACGGCCCGCGUCCGACUAGCUUGUUGGUGAGGUAAUGGCUCACCAAGGCGACGAUCGGUAGCUGGUCUAAGAGGAUGAUCAGCCUCACUGGGACUGAGACACGGCCCAGACUCCUACGGGAGGCAGCAGUGGGGAAUAUUGGACAAUGGGCGCAAGCCUGAUCCAGCCAUGCCGCGUGGGUGAUGAAGGCCCUAGGGUUGUAAAGCCCUUUCAGCGGGGAAGAUAAUGACGGUACCCGCAGAAGAAGCCCCGGCUAACUUCGUGCCAGCAGCCGCGGUAAUACGAAGGGGGCUAGCGUUGCUCGGAAUUACUGGGCGUAAAGCGCACGUAGGCGGAUUGUUAAGUCGGAGGUGAAAUCCUGGAGCUCAACUCCAGAACUGCCUUCGAAACUGGCGAUCUCGAGUCCGGGAGAGGUGAGUGGAACUGCGAGUGUAGAGGUGAAAUUCGUAGAUAUUCGCAAGAACACCAGUGGCGAAGGCGGCUCACUGGCCCGGUACUGACGCUGAGGUGCGAAAGCGCGGGGAGCAAACAGGAUUAGAUACCCUAGUAGUCC
rnacentral:rRNA from 1 species